rnacentral:rRNA from 1 species
GACGAACGCUGGCGGCGUGCUUAACACAUGCAAGUCGAACGGAAAGGCCCUGCUUUUGUGGGGUGCUCGAGUGGCGAACGGGUGAGUAACACGUGAGUAACCUGCCCUUGACUUUGGGAUAACUUCAGGAAACUGGGGCUAAUACCGGAUAGGAGCUCCUGCUGCAUGGUGGGGGUUGGAAAGUUUCGGCGGUUGGGGAUGGACUCGCGGCUUAUCAGCUUGUUGGUGGGGUAGUGGCUUACCAAGGCUUUGACGGGUAGCCGGCCUGGGAGGGUGACCGGCCACAUUGGCACUGAGAGACGGCCCAGACUCCUACGGGAGGCAGCAGUGGGGAAUAUUGCACAAUGGGCGGAAGCCUGAUGCAGCAACGCCGCGUGCGGGAUGACGGCCUUCGGGUUGGAAACCGCUUUCGCCUGUGACGAAGCGUGAGUGACGGUAAUGGGUAAAGAAGCACCGGCUAACUACGU